rnacentral:misc_RNA from 1 species
UAGGGAGACCUAAUCCAUUUAGAAAUCGAAAACAAUGAAAAUUGUCAAUAGAAGCUAAAUUGGUCUAACCUAGGUCGUUCGAGAUUGGUAGACAUCUUUCAAAGUAUUAUUCGGCUUCGUUCAAAACCAUAUAUAAUAAAUGGAAAAAGACAGCUCCUAAUUGUCAAAGUUAGACUGCUGGAUGAAGUUCCAGCCAGAACCUUGAAAACUGCAUAAGAGAACAAGAAAAAGCAGGCAGACACAGACAUUUAGAUGGAUGUGGAAGCAAAAGAAAUUGU